rnacentral:rRNA from 1 species
UACGUAGGGUGCAAGCGUUGUCCGGAUUUAUUGGGUUUAAAGGGUGCGUAGGCGGCUUAUUAAGUCAGGGGUGAAAGACUGCAGCUCAACUGUAGCAGUGCCUUUGAUACUGGUGAGCUUGAGUACAGAUGAGGAUGGCGGAAUGGGUGGUGUAGCGGUGAAAUGCACAGAUACCAUGAAGAACACCGAUUGCGAAGGCAGCUGGCUAAACUGUAACUGACGCUGAGGCACGAAAGCGUGGGGAUCGAACAGG